UACAGAGGUCUCAAGCGUUGUUCGGAUUCAUUGGGCGUAAAGGGUGCGUAGGCGGCGCGGUAAGUCGGGUGUGAAAUCUCGGAGCUUAACUCCGAAACUGCAUUCGAUACUGCCGUGCUUGAGGACUGGAGAGGAGACUGGAAUUUACGGUGUAGCGGUGAAAUGCGUAGAUAUCGUUUGGAACGCCAAUGGUGAAAACAGACAGCUGGGAGUGUGCUGACGCUGAGACACGAAAGCCAGGGGAGCGAACGGG
rnacentral:rRNA from 1 species